ACGGGGUACGGUGGGUUCGCCCCGAACAAAAGAGAUGCUGAUCUCCCGCCAGAAUGAUGUAACUCCCGAAGGCUUUGCAAAGAAGUCCACUUCAUCUAGUAAAAUGAAAAGAACUUCUGUGCAACUGCACCACUUCACUAGACGUGUCUCUACUUCCCAAGACGGGCAGCAUGUGGCUUGUUUCUAUCAGCUGAUGCCAUGUUUUGCAAGAUUCCUGAGACUUCAUCAAUAAACACAGCCAGCCCGUCUGCCUAUUUUCUUCUUGCAGUCAAGCUUUGACUAAAAUAAUGCAAACGUUGAAGACCCUAAUGAUUAAAACCACUUCAGUUUAGGAGGGCAAUACAAAGUGUGGAAUUUUGACAUUUUGAGACAUCGUCCUCACUUUGUUGUAUUCCUCUGGCUGUCACCAUCAAUGCAUGGCACCCGGCUCUUAACAUCUUGUCAUACAGAAUCGUUGCUUCAUGUGAGGGAGCAAUUUGUUCCCUCCCCCAUGUGAGCAGUUACUAAGGGGGCUCCUGUGUUACCAGCAGUUUAAAUUCACUAGUCAACAACUGGAAAAAAAAAUAUCCUCUUUGGCACCAUACUUCAGCUAUAAGUUGAGAUUGUAUUUUUUUUUAAUUUACCAUUUAUUGUGUGUAUCCAUAUCUGUGUGGGAGCAUGAACGCCAUGGCGCACCUAUAGAGAUCAGAGGACAACCCUUACGAGUUACUUCUUUCCUACGAAGUGAGUCCCAGGAUCAGAUUAAGGUUGUGAGGUCUAACUACAGGCACACGUUUACCCAUUGAUCUCUUUUGACAACCCAUGGAUUCUGCAUUUUUAGAAAGUCUAUUUUGUGGUCCUUUCAUUUGGAAUCCAGUAAAAUGUGUUACUUUCGGCAGUUUUUCAGUACAUAAAGUUUUUACUGUUAUUUUAAUAUUCCCUGUUUUCCUUAUUCAGUAUUACAUCAUUUUCUAUCAGCCCACAGUUUGAAAACAAAUUCUAUUUCCCUUGAGGCUUGAUGUCAAAGAUUGGAAUUGGGAAAAAAAAAAAAAAGCUUAGUUGAAAGCCAAUGAGGAAAAACACACUACAGGAAAUAAAUACUAUAACCAUGGCUUGGCUAGGUGUUCAAUUUAAUUAUUAAGCUAAUUGGUAGAUAAUGAUAGUAUCUCUUAUUGUCUAAUGUGGUUAGUAUGUAAACAAAGUGAUACCAAUU
rnacentral:lncRNA from 1 species